AACCAGACUCCUACGGGAGGCAGCAGUGGGGAAUAUUGCACAAUGGGCGAAAGCCUGAUGCAGCAACGCCGCGUGAAGGAAGAAGGUCUUCGGAUCGUAAACUUCUGUCCUUGGGGAAGAUAAUGACGGUACCUGACUAAGAAGCCCCGGCUAACUACGUGCCAGCAGCCGCGGUAAUACGUAGGGGGCAAGCGUUAUCCGGAUUUACUGGGUGUAAAGGGAGCGUAGACGGUAAGGCAAGUCAGAUGUGAAAGCCCGGGGCUCAACCGCGGGACUGCAUUUGAAACUGUCAGGCUGGAGUGCGGGAGAGGUAAGUGUAAUUCCUAGUGUAGCGGUGAAAUGCGUGGAUAUUAGGAGGAGCACCAGUGGCGAAGGCGGCUUACUGGACUGUAACUGACGUUGAGGCUCGAAAGCGUGGGGAGCAAACAGGAUUAGAUACCCGCGUACA
rnacentral:rRNA from 1 species